UGCCUUACACAUGCAAGUCGAACGGCAGCACGGGGGCAACCCUGGUGGCGAGUGGCGAACGGGUGAGUAAAGCAUCGGAACGUGCCCUGAAGUGGGGGAUAACGUAGCGAAAGUUACGCUAAUACCGCAUAUUCUGUGAGCAGGAAAGCAGGGGAUCGCAAGACCUUGCGCUUUGGGAGCGGCCGAUGUCGGAUUAGCUAGUUGGUGAGGUAAAGGCUCACCAAGGCGACGAUCCGUAGCGGGUCUGAGAGGAUGAUCCGCCACACUGGGACUGAGACACGGCCCAGACUCCUACGGGAGGCAGCAGUGGGGAAUUUUGGACAAUGGGCGCAAGCCUGAUCCAGCCAUGCCGCGUGAGUGAAGAAGGCCUUCGGGUUGUAAAGCUCUUUCGGUUGGGAAGAAAUUGCUUGGGUUAAUACCCUAAGUAGAUGACGGUACCAGCAUAAGAAGCACCGGCUAACUACGUGCCAGCAGCCGCGGUAAUACGUAGGGUGCGAGCGUUAAUCGGAAUUACUGGGCGUAAAGCGUGCGCAGGCGGUUGUGUAAGUCAGAUGUGAAAUCCCCGGGCUCAACCUGGGAACUGCAUUUGAGACUGCACGGCUAGAGUGUGGCAGAGGGGGGUAGAAUUCCACGUGUAGCAGUGAAAUGCGUAGAGAUGUGGAGGAAUACCGAUGGCGAAGGCAGCCCCCUGGGCCAAUACUGACGCUCAUGCACGAAAGCG
rnacentral:rRNA from 1 species